UCGCCGUCCCCCCGUUGCUUCUAACUGCUGGUGCUCCCCGGAUCGGCGGCUUCGGCAUCUCCCACGCCGGGACCGCGAACUCCCGCAUCUGCUGCAGGUACCGCCACUGCCAGAACGCCGCCCGCACGAGGCACAUCCACUGCCGCAGCGCCUACUGCAAGAGCUCCUUCUAGAACUCGUGCGGCGCCCAGAGGAGCAUCUACUCGGGGCUCUACGCGAACUGUGGCGG
rnacentral:rRNA from 1 species